rnacentral:rRNA from 1 species
CAGUCGCCGCGGUAAUACAGAGGGUGCGAGCGUUAAUCGGAUUUACUGGGCGUAAAGCGUGCGUAGGCGGCUAAUUGAGUCGGAUGUGAAAUCCCCGAGCUUAACUUGGGAAUUGCAUUCGAUACUGGUUAGCUAGAGUGUGGGAGAGGAUGGUAGAAUUCCAGGUGUAGCGGUGAAAUGCGUAGAGAUCUGGAGGAAUACCGAUGGCGAAGGCAGCCAUCUGGCCUAACACUGACGCUGGGGUGCGAAAGCAUGGGGAGCAAACAGGAUCAGAUACCCCAGUAGUCCCUGUCUCUUAUAC